rnacentral:siRNA from 1 species
AAACAAAGAUGAUUAGAAAAUGGG